GUGGCUCCACAUCCUUGCCGAUACUUGGACACGUUCUGCAUAACUUCAGCCCUCUUGCUGCAGCGAGCCUGGCUCUGUGACACCGCGUGCUCCCCUGGGUGACAGUCCCCGCACCAUUUGAAGAGCGCUGUUCAGUGUAACGUCCUGCAGUUACCGAGACACUCCGUGUCCUGAUGAGACGGGGAACCGAGCUCUGUUCACAGAGCGGAAGAAUGGACUCCGCAAACUCGCAAACAUUCAAGCAGGCAAAGUUUAUUUCAAAGGAUAGAGCUACAAAGCCCUCAGCAUAGACUCUGAGAGCGGGUGAACCCCCAGAGGCGGGAACAGCAGCAGCUUUUCUGUCCUCGUCAGACUCGACCUGUCCGUCCUUGGCUGGCCCGGGGCCCGACGCCUGUGAUUUCUGACCCGAACGGCCAGUGUCUGUCCCGUCCGUUGGCCGGUGGCUCUGUGGCAAGCAGCGUUGUGCUGACUGGAACGACCCCACAAGAAGCAAGCGUUAUUAUCUUUUAGAAGAUAAGAAAAUUAAGGGGAAGACAAAAGGCUGGACAACAGUCUGAAUAUAAAGCAAGUUAACACGUGACAAGAACUUGGCAUGUCUGCCGGUGUUUGGGAGGAGACCCACUCGUCUCUGUGCCCAGAGCCUCAGCUGUCCCGAGUCAGAACAGCACUUCACUCCUGGGCUCCAGGGGAGUUAACAGGCCACAGACGCCAUCUGUGUGUUUGCAGCUUUGAGACCAGACGUGCAAAGUCUAUUGUAUAUACACACAGUCUGAUGAGCUGUCGGAAACUGGAAGGGAGGAAUCAUGGGGAAGAGCGUGAGCCUUCAUUUCUUCAUUUUCAGAGCAGACGUUCUUGAAAAACAGUAAGUUCAUGAGCCAAGAAGACGGAGGUUUGUAUGACUCAUGAUAAAGAUUCCUGUGAAGCGGGCAGGGAGGACACAGCUGGCUGGGUUGGGGGCCCUGGGCUCCCUGGCGUGGGCCGACCCGCACCUCCCAGGGCAGGGUGUGGCCGGUGGGCUCAUUCUGUUUUUCUCAACAAUUCGUGAUUAAUUUUAUUUACGGAUGUUGUUUUGACAAAAAAAUGCAGGAGGUAUGAAAGGGUGUGCAGUCAACAGCUUCCCUUGGCUUUGCAAAUCCACUGUGGGGC
ensembl:lncRNA